rnacentral:lncRNA from 1 species
CCCCGCAUACAAGCUCUCAAACGUCGCUGUCUUAGCCGUCGUAACUGCUAGCUUAGCCUCCUUUCUUGCUACUUUGUAGACCUCCCUAUUCACCCUCUUCUCCUCUACAUCUUUAAUCUUAAUCAAAUUAACAUACGCCCCCUUCUUAAUCUCUACUUUCUUCUUAACUUCUUCAUUCCACCACCAGUCCCCCUUAUGUCAUCCUGCCCGACCCCUCGAAACACCCAACACUUCUCUAGCAGUCUCCGAUGCAACUGGCAGCCUUAUCCCACAUAGAAUCCACGUCCCCCCCUACAAUCCCACACCCC